UUAAUCAUAUUCCUAGAAAUCUGAUUUUGUAAUGCUUCAUACCCCUUUUCUGUCAGACUUGAAUGCUUUUCUAAGUUGUGCUUUAGUACUAGCAAUUUUGAGUUGUGUAAAAAUAUUACACUGCAUCCUUGUUAGUCACAAGCUUGUCUUGGGCAUGCUCCACCUUAACCUGAACAAGCUGCGACACCUGAACUACAGUUGGAGAGUCAUGUAGCUGUUUUCCUUGUAAAUGUUUUCUGAUUACCUGAUGCAAUUGCUUCACUGUCAGUUCAUGUUCUCUGUAUAUUUUUCACUAGCAUAACGUUCCCUAUAUAGGAUGCUUCUGUUUGAGAAAUAACAUAUCAUUCUCAUAAUUUUAUGCUAUUUUUUUAGGUCGUAGGCGCAUCUUAUUUCAUUUGUUUCAGUAACUCUUAUUAUCUUGCUUUUGUUGAUGUGGGAUGAUGUUAGUGCUAGGAAGACCACCACCAACAUUAGUAGGCCAAUGGUUUCGAGUACCUCAAAGAAAUUGUCAAGUUCGAGGAAAUCCCAGACCAAAGUUGCUCCUUGCGCUACUGUUUUCCAUGGAACACAGUCACCGAAGAGCAGCAGGAGGCUCUUACUCUUUUCAGAGCUUUGUAAUCUUGUACUAUGAUCGUUGAAAGUUAAUAUAUAUUGAUGUUCAAAAAAAUAACCGAAGUGCUGCAUGAGAGAUAAACAUUUCAGUUCCAAACUGCUUUCUCCUUUCAAGUUCUACAGAACAAAGAAUUAUGUCAUAUUCUUCUUGAAGUAUUGUUAGCGCCUUUGCUCUGCAUGAAAUUGGCCUAUGUGACAGAAGUUUGAUGGAGUAGGUUUCAUCUUAUAUCCAAUACUUCCCUGUCAUGAGAAAGUGCUCACCUGUUAAGGCUUUGGCUCCGUCUUUCAAGUACAAAGUGUUGACCUUGAUCGUUGAAGAUUCAGCUCCAUUGUAACAUUAACCCGAUAUUUUCAUUCAAUCCACUUAAUGCCAUAUGGUGUUAUCCUUCUAAUCUUGUGAAUUUUCAUCAAUAGUUUGUGUAUUGCAGACAAAGACGAAUCAGCGCACCUCUAGUGCGUCAUCUUACAUGAUUUGAAUGAAACCAGGCCUACCUGAUUCUUUGGAGAAGUUCAGACCCAUGAAAAUCCAUAUCUAAAACACUUGAUUUGAAGCUCCCCUUAGCAGAACUGGUUUGAGCCAGAUGUGACCAUGGAGGUUUUGGCUCAACUAAAUCCCCUUUACUCAGAUACCUCAACACACUAGCAGUGCACAGGAAAUUGACAAGGACAUGUAGACACGGAGAGCUUGUGCAUACUCUCCCUAAAACAAAUUGUACUUCUGUAUGUAGUUGAAUAUCUUUAUUCUGGUGUCAUGUCCAUGUAAUGUACUUGCUUAUGAAUGCUUUCUUCUAUUGGCAUCAUCUACCAGAUCAUAUCCAGAAUUGUUGUACUGCAAGAAUGAUGCAUGUCACCUACGUGACAUUUUGUAAUUGAGUUUUUUUAUGUCCCAUUGUAUACCAUAUUUUA